rnacentral:rRNA from 1 species
UACAGAGGGUGCGAGCGUUAAUCGGAAUUACUGGGCGUAAAGGGCGCGUAGGCGGCCUUCUAAGUCGAACGUGAAAUCCCCGGGCUCAACCCGGGAACUGCGUCCGAUACUGGAAGGCUUGAAUCCGGGAGAGGGAUGCGGAAUUCCAGGUGUAGCGGUGAAAUGCGUAGAUAUCUGGAGGAACACCGGUGGCGAAGGCGGCAUCCUGGACCGGCAUUGACGCUGAGGCGCGAAAGCCAGGGGAGCAAACGGG